rnacentral:rRNA from 1 species
CGGGGGGCAGCAGUAAGGAAUUUUCGUCAAUGGGGGAAACCCUGAACGAGCAACGCCGCGUGGAGGAUGAAGGUUUUCGGAUUGUAAACUCCUUUUGUGAGGGACGAUAAUGACGGUACCUCGCGAAUAAGCCCCGGCUAACUCUGUGCCAGCAGCCGCGGUAAUACAGAGGGGGCAAGCGUUGUCCGGAGUUACUGGGCGUAAAGCGCACGUAGGCGGUUGUGCAAGUGGUGUGUGAAACCAAUCAGCUUAACUGAUUGACGCCAUGCCAAACUGCACGACUAGAGUUAUGGAGAGGUUGCUCGAAUUGCCGGUGUAGUGGUGAAAUGCGUAGAGAUCGGCAGGAAGACCAAGGGAGAAAUCAGGCAACUGGCCAUAUACUGACGCUCAGGUGCGAAAGCGUGGGGAGCGAACUGGAUUAGAUACCCGAGU